UGGUCUGAUUCGUCUUCUCUACAUCGAUUAAUCGUCCUGUUGUUUUGUCGCUAUUAGUGAAAGGAAGCAGGAUGCACACAUCGGUGGGCGCUUUCAGUCAGCUCCUGUGAAAUGCAGAGGCAGAGUCAGCCAACGCCACGAUGGAGUCGCAAUACAAGUUUUUUAUGUAUUUUCCUGUCGCCCAAAUAUCGAGUUUAUCAGACGCAGCAAACUACACAACGCUUCCUCAGCGAAAGAACGUCUACCUCGGGGAGACUCUCCAGUUUCUGCUGGUGUUGCGGUCUCGGGGCUUAACGGACAGGGACGAUGGUGCUCUGUCUUGGAAGGACCUGGGGGGUUCUUUGUGCGCUCUGGCGAGCGUGUGCGCCGCGGAGAGCUGGCGGCAGACACCGGCUGAGCAGUGUGACCGCAUGAGCAGCUGCAGUGAAGACAGCGAGGAUGUAGAGUCCGAGGAUGUAGAGUGUAGGACCGCAGAACAGAGCGGAAGAAGACUGGGGGACAAGCAGACCUUCACACAGUGUAACCAACUUGUCAGUCAUAAAUGCUCACCCAGUAGUGCAGCGAUGCACAACGAGACAGAACAAGCCAAGUCUGCUUGGGUGUUGGAAGACCAGCUUAUCUUCUGUCUCACUGUCUCUUUGGACAAGCUGCCAGUCAGUACACGUAAAGCCAAGAUUGUAGUCACUGUGUGGAAGCAGAUGGAGGAAAAUGCAGAAUUAAGGGAGCUUGGCUACCUGACUCUGCUGCAGUUUAGGAGUCCAACCUGCACCUUCAGACAAGAUCUUAGCACCUUCAAGACACAAGUCAGCACUACUCUGGAUGUUCUUCCACCUCCCAGUGUCCAGUGUAGACAGAUGACUGUUUCUGGAAAACAUCUGACCGUCCUCAAGGUGAUGAACUGCAGCUCACAGGACAGAAUGUGUGUCAAAGAUGUGAAGAUUCUUCCAAACUAUAACUCGUCUUACCUUCCCAUGAUGCCUGAUGGCUCAGUUCUCGUAGUCGACAACGUCUGCCACCAGUCAGCGGAGAUCACCAUGGCUUCAUUCUGUCGGAUAGACAACAGAUCAUCACAUCUACCUUGUAUGCUCAGUGCCCUGGAGGAGCAGACCUUCAUGUUUCAGCUGCAGCUACAAGAGAAAGAAGAACAGCAAUCCAGCAAGGGUUUGGAAGUCCCAUUGUUGGCUGUCCUACAGUGGCACAGUCCAGUACAUCCUGCCAUGAGAUGCAUCUCUACUUGUUACUCGAUACCCAGUGUUCACUUAAAUCGUCCAGAGUUGGUGAUGAUGGCGUCCUGCCCAAGGACCGUCAGGCCUCAACAACACUUCUGGGUGAAAUACACACUGCUCAACAAUUUGCAAGAUUUCCUGGCUGUUCGUCUGAUCUGGAAUUCAGAGGCAGGAAGUCAGCAGGAUCCCAGUGUGGGAGCGGUUGUGUGCCAGUCUCCACUCAACAACCUGGGCCAGUGUAAGAAAGGCUCCAUACUGUCCUUCACUGUGGCCUUCCAGAUUCUCAAAACUGGGAUUUUUGAGCUGAGCCAGCAUAUGACGUUUACAGCUUCUGUGCCUGCACCGCCCACGGAGCCUCAGUCACCUUUGAAAAACACCUUCGGAGGACAUAGCCUGAGCCGGUUAAAGAGCUUCCCCCACCACCAGCCAUUUUGGUCAGUAAAUCUCAGGUAUGGAGGGUCAUUGUACAAGACUGCUUCUCAAACUGUGGAGCAUCGAGAUACUUCCACUGGGGUGUGGGUGACUGUGAAAAAAAGGUUUGUAUUAAAUGAGUAAAGUUAAGUUGAAUUAAUUGAAAACUGUAAAAAGGGAGGAAAUGACCUUUUAUCAACUUGGGUGGGCGAGGGGAGCCUGUAGCAGCCAUUCAGUCAUGUCCCUCAGAGUGUCCUGUGCUGGGGGGUGUGGGUUGUCUGGCACGUAGGAACAGGCCAUCCAGUCCUUGUACAACCGUUUCAAGAGUUUGGUCUGCAGCGAUUGAACUUCGUCAGGCUCAUUUCUGUUUCUGGGAUUGGGGGAGCGUUGGACUGGAAGGCUUCCAGUUUGGUGGCCUCAAAAUUUCUGAUUUUGGAAGAUGAUGGUGUUCUGUUGGCUUGUGGCCUGUGGUCAUGAGCUUUGGGUUGUGACCAAGAUCACAGAUACAAGCAACAGAAAUGAGCUUUCUCCAAGGGGUGGCUGCCCUUUCCCUUAGAGAUGGUGAGAAGUUCAGUCAUUCAAGAGGUGCUCAGAGUCGAGCUGUUGCUUCUCCAAAUGGAAAUGAGCCAGGUCAUUGUUUCGGGGAUUUAUAGGUUGCCUCUUUGGCUCCUCUCAGGUCAGGUGUUCCAAGGUGUCCCACCUGGAGGAAACCCUGGGGCUGACCCAAGACAAACUGGUAAGACUAUAUCUCUCCGCUGCCAUGGAAACGACUUGGCGUCCCCCUGAAUAAGCUGUGGGAGGAGACUGGAGACUUCUCUGCUUAGGUUGUUUCCAGAUAAGAAGAAGAAGAAGAUGGAAAUUCUUUUGAGUCAGGAGCUAUGGUGGAGCUCCAGACAACAACCUCUCCUGCAGGAACUGUUAAUCGAGCCCCUCACCUGUCCCCCGAUCCCAGCUU